rnacentral:rRNA from 1 species
GACAGAGGCCCCGAGCGUUAGGCGGAAUCACUGGGCUUAAAGCGUGUGUAGGCGGGCCCGUAAGUGUCUUGUGAAAUCCCACGGCUCAACCGUGGAACUGCUGGGCAUACUGCGGGUCUUGGGCCAACUAGGGGCAGCCGGAACAAGCGGUGGAGCGGUGAAAUGCGUAGAUAUCGCUUGGAACGCCGAAGGUGAAAACAGGCUGCUGGGGUUGCGCCGACGCUGAGACACGAAAGCCAGGGGGAGCAAAACGGGG